UGGUCCUACGGGGGGCAGCAGUGGGGAAUAUUGCACAAUGGGGGAAACCCUGAUGCAGCAACGCCGCGUGAGUGAAGGAGUAUUUCGGUAUGUAAAGCUCUAUCAGUAGGGAAGAAGAAAGACGGUACCUGACUAAGAAGCCCCGGCUAACUACGUGCCAGCAGCCGCGGUAAUACGUAGGGGGCAAGCGUUAUCCGGAUUUACUGGGUGUAAAGGGAGCGUAGACGGCUACGCCAGUCUGACGUGAAAGCCCGUGGCUCAACCGCGGAACUGCUUUGGAAACUGUAUGGCUUGAGCACUGGAGG
rnacentral:rRNA from 1 species